AGUUGUGUUUCUUCCCAUGGAAAGAUGGUUAUAGCAACAGACUGAGUUUAAAACUAUGCAGAUUGAUCUGAUUCUAAUUUAGUUCUCUCUCCGUUGCUAAAAUCAAGAUAUAAUAGGAAUUCAGACAACUAAAACCAACGUGUGGUGUCAUCUUCCCUUUCUAGUCCAUCUGAUUUCUGGAUGGCAUUUUCUGUCCUCACUGAAGGUCAGAAAGCUCAAUUCAGGGACUUGGACAUUUGCAGGUCUGUGGGAAAAGCUUUAGAAAUCUGUACUAAAGAUUGAACAGAUUAAGAAAUGUGUGCUAAAUUGAUUUCUGUGUAGCCAUGUAUUCAGAGACAAGUCACUCAAGGAUGUGGCUAAUUAAAAAGGACUCUUGUUCCUGCCUUUAGACUCCAACCUCGGAUGUUUCCCCACUGCUUACCCUUGAAAGUAACCCACUCCUUAAUGGGCUUGGAUAUGCUUAGGGAGACAUUCAGAGCAUGGUGGCUCUUAGGGGAGCUGUGUCUGAAAAGGAUGUGUGCUGGCUUGCUAUCCUUGAACAAUCUCAUUGCAGUAAAGCCAAAAGGAAGAAGAAAGAAGAGCGUGAGACACUGCCCCAAGUGUCUGAAGAAAUCUAUUAUGAUAUUGCUGCUGAUUUAAAAGACUUGUUUGGAUCUUCAAAGAAACACCAGAAAACACGGAGGAAAUACCCUGGGACAAAGAGGAUGCACAGGACUCUGCCCCAGAUGACCAUCUGGGACCUUUGCCUGAGAAGGACGCAGCUCAGGAGCUGAGUGCUUUCAAGUUUUCCUUCUUUGGAGACACAGAGGAGUUGGCCAUCAAAAAAGGUAACAGCAGAAUGAGUAAGAGAUCCCUAGAACAAAGUGGAAAAUACUGGGGAAAAGAUAAGAGCUGGAAAAAUCUAGGAGGAGAACAUUCUGUCCUUCCUACAUAUGUCUUCUCCACUGUAAGUAUUUCACUUGAAAGGAGGAAUUUGUCCUGACCAGUAGAGGAAUAAUGUGGUUUUGGCUUUUUUUCUCUAUCGGUGCUGUUAUCGCAGAGCCUUACGUACUUGAAACAAUAAAGCCAGUGAAGGUCACGUGGCAAGAGGAUCCACGUUUCCAGGACAGCAGUUCUGAGGGUGAUGAUGAGCCUGAGAUGUCAGGAAUUGAAAAGGACCAAGAAAUGUUUCUUUUUUUACUACGCACAGAAAGUGCUAGAGAUUUUUUCUUCUCCAAAGAUGAUGAAUGCCUAAGCGGUAUGACAGAAUUUCUUCACCCCCUUUUGUAUUUUUUUCCUUUUAAACUCUUCCUAGAAUUCAGUGAGGAGGAAAAAAUGCUGCCUAGUUAUGAAAGUUUUCUAGAGAAAAUUUGCCACCCUUACUUGUGGUCCAAUUUGUGGUAGAAUCCUGUGAGAAAUUCCUGGUAAAAUAAAGGUCAAGCAGAUUUCUGUGGUUUUUUUUCU
rnacentral:lncRNA from 1 species